GUUCUCUGGCGGCCCCGUGCCUGUUCUCGGCUGGGCGCAUCGUCUCCACCGGCUGCUCGCCCUGACCUGCUUCUGACCCCCAUAGCAGAUCCAGCUGUACCCUCCCCGGCAAGGACGCCGCGUAGCCCGCUCGUGGGCACCGGUCACAGCCCAGACCACACUCGGGACCAUCUUCUUUGGUCGUGAGCAACCAGCAGACCGCUGAUAAGGCCGAGGUGGGCGGGCCCAUAUCGCCUAACUCGCAUGCUCAUUGGUUAAGCUCAUCUGACACUCAGUCGUGCGCCGGCGUCCCAUUGGGUCCAACGGCGCGCUCUAUAAAUCCGGGGAAGUUCGGCGUCUGAGAAAGCUGAGUGGUCGACACGCGUCAGAGGGUUCCCCGGACGCGUCGGAGGGUUCCCGAGGACGGUGAAGCCGGCGGAGGUUACCUCCGCCAGCCGACGCCUCAACCGGGCCUUAGCCUCAGGCAUCACGGAAGUGAAAGCGAGCCAAGAGUAAGACAGAAACCAGUACAAAUAAAUCCCCAAGUCAAAACAGCUACAGUCGAAUUUAAGGAAAGCAAAGAUUAUCUCCUUAGAGGCUUCUGAAAUGCUCAAUUCAGUGGUCCCCAAAUUUGCUGCCCACUGGAAUCACCUGGCCAUCUUUAAAAAUUACUGAUGCCUGGUUCCCAUCUCUCAGUAUUGUAAUUUACCAGUUGGGAAAAGAGGUGUAAUCCCAGAAAGGAAAUAUAUGAAAGGAGAUCCAAUUCAAGAGAGUCCAUCAGAAACGCCUCAUAUCGUCACCCUGAAGUCCAUGCUGUCAUGUUUGCAUACAGCAGCUCGUGUCAGCUUCCUUCGUCUCCACCUUUUCCCUCAUUCUCUGGAUCCCCAGGAUCACAUUCUGGGCUAGUUUUCUGCUGGCUAGUCAACAAAUACU
ensembl:lncRNA